rnacentral:rRNA from 1 species
AGAGUUUGAUCCUGGCUCAGGAUGAACGCUAGCUACAGGCUUAACACAUGCAAGUCGAGGGGCAGCAUGAUUGAAGCUUGCUUCAAUUGAUGGCGACCGGCGCACGGGUGAGUAACGCGUAUCCAACCUUCCGUACACUCAGGGAUAGCCUUUCGAAAGAAAGAUUAAUACCUGAUGGUAUGAUGAGAUUGCAUGAUAGCAUCAUUAAAGAUUUAUCGGUGUACGAUGGGGAUGCGUUCCAUUAGGUAGUAGGCGGGGUAACGGCCCACCUAGCCGACGAUGGAUAGGGGUUCUGAGAGGAAGGUCCCCCACAUUGGAACUGAGACACGGUCCAAACUCCUACGGGAGGCAGCAGUGAGGAAUAUUGGUCAAUGGACGAGAGUCUGAACCAGCCAAGUAGCGUGAAGGAUGAAGGUCCUACGGAUUGUAAACUUCUUUUAUAAGGGAAUAAAACCUCCCACGUGUGGGAGCUUGUAUGUACCUUAUGAAUAAGCAUCGGCUAACUCCGUGCCAGCAGCCGCGGUAAUACGGAGGAUGCGAGCGUUAUCCGGAUUUAUUGGGUUUAAAGGGAGCGCAGACGGGUCGUUAAGUCAGCUGUGAAAGUUUGGGGCUCAACCUUAAAAUUGCAGUUGAUACUGGCGUCCUUGAGUGCGGUUGAGGUGUGCGGAAUUCGUGGUGUAGCGGUGAAAUGCUUAGAUAUCACGAAGAACUCCGAUUGCGAAGGCAGCACACUAAGCCGUAACUGACGUUCAUGCUCGAAAGUGUGGGUAUCAAACAGGAUUAGAUACCCUGGUAGUCCACACGGUAAACGAUGGAUACUCGCUGUUGGCGAUAUACGGUCAGCGGCUUAGCGAAAGCGUUAAGUAUCCCACCUGGGGAGUACGCCGGCAACGGUGAAACUCAAAGGAAUUGACGGGGGCCCG